GCUUUUAGAGAGAGAGAGAGAGAGAGAGAGAGAGAGAGAGAGAGAGAGAGAGAGAGGAUUCAUAUAUCUCUAUGUCUUGCUCUGGAACAGUCAAAAAUGGCCUAGGCCAUCAUCAUCAUCAUCAUCUAGGGAAGAAAGAAAGUAGUUUGAGUGAUAAGUAUGUAGAUUCCUCUACUUAUAGCUCCAAAACUAUUGUAUUUGUAGCUUAAUUGGGAAUUGGAAUAACAAAUUAAGUGCUCACUUCUCAGAAUCUGUCAGUAGUGUUCUUGAGGAGGCCCUUCCAUUCCUUGUGGGUUGAAUCAAAGAAUCAUAUGUAAAUCACUUGUUGAAGAGGUUUGUAUUUAUUUUUAACUUCUUUAAUUAAACAAAAUCAAGUGAGCUAUUUUUCUGUAUUUUGUAUGAGAGGGGAGGGUGCAUUCUCUUUUUUUCUUUCUUUUAUUAUACCAACCGCAUAACUUUCAUAAUGUAAGUCUCCCAAUAUGGUGUGUAUAUAUUAAUUUCAUUGACAAUAACCUUUUUUUUUCUGAAGGUAAAUUUCAUUCACAAUAAUAUUUUCAAUAGGAGUACAU
rnacentral:lncRNA from 1 species